rnacentral:rRNA from 1 species
GUGGGGAAUCUUGCGCAAUGGGCGAAAGCCUGACGCAGCCAUGCCGCGUGCAGGAAGAAGGCGCUACGCGUUGUAAACUGCUUUUAACCGGGAAGAAACCCCAGGACGUGUCCUGGGUUGACGGUACCGGAGGAAUAAGCACCGGCUAACUUCGUGCCAGCAGCCGCGGUAAUACGAAGGGUGCAAGCGUUAUCCGGAUUCAUUGGGUUUAAAGGGUGCGUAGGCGGAGCGUUAAGUCAGUGGUGAAAUCCUGCAGCUUAACUGUAGACUUGCCAUGGAGACUGGCGCUCUUGAGUGCGCUUGAAGUGGGCGGAAUGUGCCGUGUAGCGGUGAAAUGCUUAGAUAUGGCACAGAACACCAAUUGCGAAGGCAGCUCACUAAGGCGAUACUGACGCUGAGGCACGAAAGCGUGGGGAUCGAACAGGAUUAGAUACCCCAGUAGUCC